rnacentral:rRNA from 1 species
AGCGAACGCUGGCGGCAGGCUUAACACAUGCAAGUCGAACGGCCCUUCGGGGCAGUGGCGGACGGGUGGGUAACACGUGGGAACGUGCCCUUAGGUUCGGAACAACACAGGGAAACUUGUGCUAAUACCGGAUGUGCCCUUUUGGGGAAAGAUUUAUCGCCUUUGGAGCGGCCCGCGUCUGAUUAGCUAGUUGGUGGGGUAAAAGCCUACCAAGGCGACGAUCAGUAGCUGGUCUGAGAGGAUGGCCAGCCACACUGGGACUGAGACACGGCCCAGACUCCUACGGGAGGCAGCAGUGGGGAAUUUUGGACAAUGGGCGCAAGCCUGAUCCAGCCAUUCCGCGUGCAGGAUGAAGGCCCUCGGGUUGUAAACUGCUUU